GUUUUAAUAGUUUAAAUAAAAACUUUGGUCUUGUAAACCAAAAAUGAAAAAAAUUCUUAAAACU
rnacentral:tRNA from 1 species